rnacentral:rRNA from 1 species
GAUCCUGGCUCAGGAUGAACGCUAGCUACAGGCUUAACACAUGCAAGUCGCGGGGUAGCAUGGGGAUUGCUUGCAAUCUCUGAUGGCGACCGGCGCACGGGUGAGUAACACGUAUCCAACCUGCCUAUUACCACGGUAUAACCCGAUGAAAGUCGGCCUAAUCCCGUAUGUAGUCUUCCAAUGGCAUCAGCAGUAGACGAAAGGUUUAGCGGUAAUGGAUGGGGAUGCGUCCGA